rnacentral:rRNA from 1 species
AUGCAACCCCCUCUGCGGUCAUACAACAUAUUCGUCACAGUAGGCGACAGCCUGUAUGUCAUGGCGACCGAGGCUGGCUUGCGAUCCCGGCUUAUAUGGUUCCAUGCUCUCAUCUACGGCCAGCCGCCGGAUUUCAUAGGUCAGCAGGACUGGUACUGGCGUCCUCUCGACCUGCCUUGCUUUGAUUAUGAGGGUGGUCAUUACAAGUCGGAUCUGCCUCACUCUGAGUACGACUCGGAUGCUGAUGACGACUGGAAUGCUGAUUACACGGAUUCUGCAGAUGUUACAAACACCAAUGAGUCGCCACACCCCUGUGCGAUCUGUGCCUACACGGUGGUUGGUAAUUCACAGAUCUGGGUAUCCACACUGGGCGCUGGCACGUACUCCUUUGACAUCAUGAGUGGCACGUGGAGCAAGGUCGGCACGUGGGUGCUGCCGUUCAGAGGCCGUGCUGUUUACGUCCCCGAGCACAACCUCUGGUUUGGCUUCUCAGAUAAAGACGAUCAGCUCUGUGCGGUUGACCUUGCUCUGACGCAGCCGGUGCUGCAGAAGGUGUUAGAAGACCCACCUCUGCCCGAGGCGUGUUCCCCGAUGGCUUCCCAUCUUCUUCAUUUGGGUUCUGGGCUUCUGGCAAGUUGUGCGUGCAAAGGCUGUUCCAGAAGACACAGCAGGGGAGCCUUCUUCAGUCAGUUCCCAGUGAUGAGAAAGAUGAAGGUUUUGCCGUGCUUGCUGGUGUGGAAGUUCGGCGCGAUGAUGGCAUUGGAGACCUUCAGAUGA